UACAGAGGUCCUGAGCGUUGUUCGGAUUCACUGGGCGUAAAGGGUGCGUAGGUGGCGAGGUAAGUCGGAUGUGAAAGCUCGGAGCUCAACUCCGAAAUGGCAUUGGAAACUACCUUGCUCGAGGGUUGGAGGGGGGACUGGAAUACUUGGUGUAGCAGUGAAAUGCGUAGAUAUCAAGUGGAACACCAGUGGCGAAGGCGAGUCCCUGGACAACUCCUGACACUGAGGCACGAAAGCUAGGGGAGCAAACAGG
rnacentral:rRNA from 1 species